UGGAAGCAUUGCACAUCCAUCUUCUUAUCUAGAAUGAAGAAACCUUCAUAGCAACCUGCUUCCGCAUGCCUCCGUGGAGUGGGAUGAUAUGUUUGAAGCACAUAUUUUGAGCAUGUUUUUCAGAUAUGUUUUAGCUGGGGCACAAGUUCAAACCUUAUCUUGAUGUGCAUUUUCAGUGGUGAAACUUUUAGAGAGGCUGAAGAUGGUGAAGGAACUGACGUGAAUUGGCAUGUCAAUAUAUUGACUCAAAUCUUAUGUUUUCUGUUGUAUAUUAACUAACUUCCCUUCAAUCUCUGUAGGAAUUUAUUUCUCUCUCAUUUCAUUUCAUUGUUGUAGACUUGUUAAGCAAUUUAAUUCUGGCUUUCAAAGAUAUGGGACGCUCUGCAUGCCGUAGUAGAAGUAGAUCUAACGCUUGCCCAAGCAAUCGUGGAUAGUGCUGGCGUGAUUGUUCAGAGAGCUGACUUGACAGUAUGCUAUGAUGAAAGAGCUGCGAAGUACGAAUUGCCCAAGUACGUUUGAGCGAGCCGACCAAUUUGAUUGAUGAUAAUUGACAAUGGAGGCAGGGCAGAUUUUGCUCGGCUUAGUGUGUAAAUCCUGUGAGUUGAUAUCGAUAGUUUGGUAAAACAAAUUGCAUCAAAGUGGAGUGCAUUCUGGCAUUUUCAUGGUGCACACUACAAUACAAAUGUUACGUAACUUUUGCCC